UACGUAGGGAGCAAGCGUUGUCCGGAAUCAUUGGGCGUAAAGCGCGCGUAGGUGGCCUCAUAAGUCCGCUGUGAAAGUCAAAGGCUCAACCUUUGAAAGCCGGUGGAUACUGUGAGGCUAGAGUACGGAAGAGGCGAGUGGAAUUCCUGGUGUAGCGGUGGAAUGCGCAGAUAUCAGGAGGAACACCAAUAGCGAAGGCAGCUCGCUGGGACGUUACUGACACUGAGGCGCGAAAGCGUGGGGAUCAAACAGG
rnacentral:rRNA from 1 species